UGAGCAUUAUACAGCAGAGCUUUCAGAUCCGCUCCAGUGAAGGAGUCAGUCACUGCCGCCACGUGCUGAAGGUCCACGUCGUCUGCCAGAGCUAGAGACUUGCUGAGGACAGUUAAAAUCUCAAGACGAGACACCUGAAGGAAGAAAAACUAAUUUACUAAACACACACACACAAUAAUUGCUGUGUAAAUUGUGACUACUAAGACUUUUUUCAUGAACUGACAUGUCUAUCACGCUAAGCUUCCCGAGCAGUCCGUGCUAGGAGGGUAUCAUCUUUCUUAGACUGGGAUCCCUAAGAGGAGACACAGGUGUAGCCUUUGCUACUUUGUGGGGUUUUUCUUCCACCUUUCUCCACCCUGUCAACCCUCUAACACUAGAUAAGAGGACAAAGGGUAGAGGGGAAGGGGGGUGACUUCCUGCUUAGGGGCACCAAAUUCCUCAGGGCAAGUUUAAUCUUUGCCGUCAGGAUAGUUAAUUUCUUCUUCUUUGCACACGACUAUUUAACAAACUGUAACCAACAACCCACAACAACCAAAUUUUUGGGGGCCCUAACAUUUAUUUACCCUCUGAAAAGUCUCCAGAAUUCCAAACAUCACACAACUGCAGAAACUCUGCAGCUGGCAAAAGCAUGCCCCUGCUAGAGCACAAGGCAAAUCAUAGCUGCUGUAACAAUCUGACGCGGCCCCACAUCUCCAAACCUGGGAUUAAAAUGAAAGCACAUUCCUAUUUCUCUAUUUCUUAAACCCCAAAGCCAGCAUUUGUAACUAUUCAAUGUGAAUACAUGUCCUGUGGCUAUUUCCUAGACUUGGACAUGUGUGCCAGCACAGGAGAAACAUUAAGAAACAAGUGCACAUGGCCUAUAGACUUGGACUUUUUGGCCAUUCUCCUUCAUUCAUUUAUUACUUUCUACAUUUGGGAGCAAGGAUUGGUAGAGUGAGACAAGAAGAGUUGAACACCUUUCUCCGUGUGACCUGGCCACACGCUCACUGGCCCACUUGCUUGCUUGUGACCUGGAGGCUUCUAACAAGAUAAGGAUCUCAGAGGACAGUUUUUAGGUUUCCUGACUUGCUCGUAUAGAUCAACACAGCCAUUCCUGGAACAGGAGUGCAGUGAAGGUGCCGCAUCUGACUCAGGAUCAUUUAUGCUUUGAGCAAACAGUGAACAAAGCCUUUGCUUGCAAAGCUGUCUUCUUUUUUGUUUGUUUUUUGAAGGUUUCACUGUGUAGCCUUGGCUGUCCUAGAGCUCGCUCUGUAGACCAGGCUGGCCUCUAAUCCACAGAGAUCUCCCUACCCUUGCCUCCUGACUGCUGGGGUUAAAGGCCUGCUGCACCACCACCACCACCACCACCACCACCAAUGAGCUUCAAAGCUGUCUUCUAGGACAAAGCUAUCUUAGGACAAUUGCUACCACAUGACCCAAGUGAAGCUCACAAGCGGAGGGUGUGGCAUCUGCUGGAGGAGAGCAUCUCUGGAUGCUCCAGGGUUUUGUCACCUGAUCUGGAGGAGGGCAGUACACACAUCUAUCCAGUCUGCCAGGCCGCAACAGGGCGGGGUCGAUCAAGUCAGGGCGACUAGUAGCAGCCAGCACGUAGACUCCUGGAGGGAAAACACUUUUAGCGUGACGAUGCAGUAACUCCUUUUAUAGUGUGUUUUUGUGUGAACAGUGAUUUACCCUGUAAGCCUUCUACUCCGUCUAACUGUGUCAGCAACUGGUUGACUACUCGGUCUGUAACCCCUGUGUUGUCAUGGCCUCUUCGAGGAGCGAUGGAUUCAAACUCAUCAAAGAAAAGAAUGCAGGGCUUUGCAGCCUGUGCUCUGAGAGGGGGAAAUCCUGUGUUUUAUCAGGGCUCCAGAGUCCUCACACACACACACACACACACACACACACACAAAUUAUAUAACAUAACAAUCUGUGUGUACAUAAGCAAAUUACAUGCAAUUAUCCUUAUUUUCUGGCUAUUUCAAGUAAAACUGAGUUUUUUUUUC
ensembl:antisense